rnacentral:rRNA from 1 species
UACGUAGGGUGCAAGCGUUAAUCGGAAUUACUGGGCGUAAAGCGUGCGCAGGCGGUUUUGUAAGUCUGUUGUGAAAUCCCCGGGCUUAACCUGGGAAUGGCAAUGGAGACUGCAAGGCUAGAGUUUGGCAGAGGGGGGUAGAAUUCCACGUGUAGCAGUGAAAUGCGUAGAUAUGUGGAGGAAUACCGAUGGCGAAGGCAGCCCCCUGGGAUAACACUGACGCUCAUGCACGAAAGCGUGGGGAGCAAACAGG